AUGGGGGACUAUGAACCCUACUCACUGCCUCGCCGUGGUGUUGUUUUUGGUCGCAAUGGUCAUCAUUACGAGCGUCAUGAUCAGGAUGACCGUGACAACCAAGCAAGAGUGAAGCUACAUGUACCAUCAUUCACGGGAAAAGAGGAGCCGGAUGCAUAUAUUGAGUGGGAAGAGAAGUGUGAUCAAAUAUUUCGUAUCUAUGGUUUUUCCGAAGCCAAGAGAGUUGAUCUUGCUAUUAUGGAGUUCUCUGGUUAUGCUCUUACAUGGUGGAAUCAGCUGCAAGACGAUCGGUUGAUGUCCGGCAAUAAUCAUAUCUGCAACUAG
rnacentral:rRNA from 1 species